rnacentral:rRNA from 1 species
UACCGAGCAGCUCUGGUAUUUGGGAGGAGCAAGUGUGGGGAAGGGAAGAAACUUACGUGCAAUUCUUUUCUGUCCAUGCAAGGGGGCCUCAACGGGUACAUCCUCAGCCCGCGAUCACGUCUCACGCUAAAGCUUCGAGGAUACAGUCUCAGGGGGGAGUACGUUCGCAAGAGUGAAACGAAAGAAAUCGACGGAAUGGCACCACAAGACGUGGAGCGUGCGGUUCAAUUCGACUCAACACGGGGAACUUUACCAGAUCCGGACAGGGCAGGAUCACAGAUCAGUGUUCUUUCUCGAUCCCCGGAUGGUGGUGCAUGGCCGCUUUUGGUCGGUGGAGGGAUUUGUUUGGUUGAUUCCGUCAACGGACGAGAUCCAAGCUGCCCAGCAGGAUUCGAAUUGCCCACAGGACAGCAAUCCCCUCCGCGGGUUUUUCCCAAGGAGGGGCGAUAUUCGUUUGUAUCCUUCUCUGCGGGAUUCCUUGUUUUGCGCAAGGGGAUAUUUUGGGCAACAGCAGGUCUGCGAUGCUCCUCAAUGUUCUGGGCGACACACGCACUACAAUG